rnacentral:rRNA from 1 species
GAUGAACGCUGGCGGCGUGCCUAAUACAUGCAAGUCGAGCGAACGGACGAGAAGCUUGCUUCUCUGAUGUUAGCGGCGGACGGGUGAGUAACACGUGGAUAACCUACCUAUAAGACUGGGAUAACUUCGGGAAACCGGAGCUAAUACCGGAUAAUAUUUUGAACCGCAUGGUUCAAAAGUGAAAGACGGUCUUGCUGUCACUUAUAGAUGGAUCCGCGCUGCAUUAGCUAGUUGGUAAGGUAACGGCUUACCAAGGCAACGAUGCAUAGCCGACCUGAGAGGGGGAUCGGCCACACUGGAACUGAGACACGGUCAAGACUCCUACGGGAGGCAGCAGUAGGGAAUCGUCCGCAAUGGGCGAAAGCCUGACGGAGCAACGCCGCGUGAGUGAUGAAGGUCUUCGGAUCGUAAAACUCUGUUAUUAGGGAAGAACAUAUGUGUAAGUAACUGUGCACAUCUUGACGGUACCUAAUCAGAAAGCCACGGCUAACUACGUG